AGGAGAAACUUUAUGGAUAUUUCAUUGUAUUCUAUUCACCAGAACGUUUAGCUAAAUUUGACUUUAUGUUAAGAUUUGAGUAAUUUUCAUCC